rnacentral:rRNA from 1 species
UACGGAGGAUGCAAGCGUUAUCCGGAUUCAUUGGGUUUAAAGGGUGCGUAGGCGGGCUAUUAAGUCAGUGGUGAAAUCCUGCAGCUUAACUGCAGAACUGCCGUUGAUACUGAUAGUCUUGAGUAUGGUUAAGGUAGGUGGAAUGUGCAGUGUAGCGGUGAAAUGCAUAGAGAUUGCACAGAAGGCCGAUUGCGAAGGCAGCUUACUGAACCAUAACUGACGCUCAUGCACGAAAGCGUGGGGAU